rnacentral:rRNA from 1 species
AUGUCGCCGCUUAGAUUCCUCGCCGCGGGGAGGCUCUCCUCACGCCGGAUCCGCGGAGGAGGACCAGCGAGGCGGCUCCUCCACCGCUCCGGGAACCAUGCGGACGGUGCCCGGGGAUCUGGCUUCUCUGCCCGUUUUCCCAUGGGAGGCAGCAACAAGCUGCGUGCCAGCGUCGCGGCGGUGGGUGCCUUAUCUGCCGCCUUGAUCGGAGCAAAGCUGUAUCUCAGAAAACACAGAAAGCAACCAAUAUCUGAAUCUUCAGGUUGGGAGCUAACCGAUAAGGAUGCGGCGACGCUGGAGGAGCAGGACUUGGAGAAGGAGGCGGCCAUGAAGGCGAGGUUCGAGGAGUGGAUGGUCAAGUAUGAGCGCAGGUACAAGAGCGAAGAGGAGAAGGCUAUGCCGUACAGGGAGUUCAAACGCCAUUGCAAGAACGCCGAGAGGGCCAACAUGCUCUCCCGUGGAGGCGCCACGUUCGGGCCGAACAACCUCGCCGAUCUGACCGAGGAAGAGGGGCUCUGUCGGAGCGGAGGUGAGUGUGAGCCCACCUUCGCGCAUAGGUUGGGGUACCCGUACCGGCGCGCCGUCGAAUGGUGGGUUCUGGGCAAGUGA